UUAAGGAACAAAAGCUAAAAACGCCACGUCCUGUGGCAACGCUUUUGUGACCAACUUCCUGUUG
rnacentral:sRNA from 1 species